CUCUCUACUUUACUGCGAGUUAUUUGUAAGAGCAGAACCACGUGACGCACUCCAAAGAAAGGUGGUCGCCAAUCAGUC
rnacentral:lncRNA from 12 species